UGAACGCUAGCUACAGGCUUAACACAUGCAAGUCGAGGGGCAGCAUGGUCUUAGCUUGCUAAGGCCGAUGGCGACCGGCGCACGGGUGAGUAACACGUAUCCAACCUGCCGUCUACUCUUGGACAGCCUUCUGAAAGGAAGAUUAAUACAAGAUGGCAUCAUGAGUCCGCAUGUUCACAUGAUUAAAGGUAUUCCGGUAGACGAUGGGGAUGCGUUCCAUUAGAUAGUAGGCGGGGUAACGGCCCACCUAGUCUUCGAUGGAUAGGGGUUCUGAGAGGAAGGUCCCCCACAUUGGAACUGAGACACGGUCCAAACUCCUACGGGAGGCAGCAGUGAGGAAUAUUGGUCAAUGGGCGAGAGCCUGAACCAGCCAAGUAGCGUGAAGGAUGACUGCCCUAUGGGUUGUAAACUUCUUUUAUAAAGGAAUAAAGUCGGGUAUGCAUACCCGUUUGCAUGUACUUUAUGAAUAAGGAUCGGCUAACUCCGUGCCAGCAGCCGCGGUAAUACGGAGGAUCCGAGCGUUAUCCGGAUUUAUUGGGUUUAAAGGGAGCGUAGAUGGAUGUUUAAGUCAGUUGUGAAAGUUUGCGGCUCAACCGUAAAAUUGCAGUUGAUACUGGAUAUCUUGAGUGCAGUUGAGGCAGGCGGAAUUCGUGGUGUAGCGGUGAAAUGCUUAGAUAUCACGAAGAACUCCGAUUGCGAAGGCAGCCUGCUAAGCUGCAACUGACAUUGAGGCUCGAAAGUGUGGGUAUCAAACAGGAUUAGAUACCCUGGUAGUCCACACGGUAAACGAUGAAUACUCGCUGUUUGCGAUAUACAGCAAGCGGCCAAGCGAAAGCGUUAAGUAUUCCACCUGGGGAGUACGCCGGCAACGGUGAAACUCAAAGGAAUUGACGGGGGCCCGCACAAGCGGAGGAACAUGUGGUUUAAUUCGAUGAUACGCGAGGAGCCUUACCCGGGCUUAAAUUGCAGAUGAAUUACGGUGAAAGCCGUAAGCCGCAAGGCAUCUGUGAAGGUGCUGCAUGGUUGUCGUCAGCUCGUGCCGUGAGGUGUCGGCUUAAGUGCCAUAACGAGCGCAACCCUUGUUGUCAGUUACUAACAGGUUCCGCUGAGGACUCUGACAAGACUGCCAUCGUAAGAUGUGAGGAAGGUGGGGAUGACGUCAAAUCAGCACGGCCCUUACGUCCGGGGCUACACACGUGUUACAAUGGGGGGUACAGAGGGCCGCUACCACGCGAGUGGAUGCCAAUCCCAAAAACCUCUCUCAGUUCGGACUGGAGUCUGCAACCCGACUCCACGAAGCUGGAUUCGCUAGUAAUCGCGCAUCAGCCACGGCGCGGUGAAUACGUUCCCGGGCCUUGUACACACCGCCCGUCAAGCCAUGGGAGCCGGGGGUACCUGAAGUGCGUAACCGCGAGGAGCGCCCUAGGGUAAAACUGGUGACU
rnacentral:rRNA from 1 species